rnacentral:lncRNA from 1 species
UCAUACUUAGUGGUUUAAUACAGAUCAAAACAAAUUUAACAGAAAAAAUGAGUAAGAAACUUGUCCUUUCAAGAGUUCCCUUUUUAAUAAUUUUGUUAUUGGAAAAAAAAAAAAAAACUUUGUUAUUGGGACGCUUGGGUGGCUCAGCAGUUGAACGUCUGCCUUUGGCUCAGGGUGUGAUCCUGGAGUUCCAGGAUCAAGUUCUGCAUCGGGCUUCCUGUAGGGAGCCGGCUUCUCCCUCUGCCUGUCUCUGCAUUUCUGUCUCAUGAGUUAAGUAAAAAUCUUUAAAAUUUUUGUUAUAUAAACAAUUUCUAUUAUUUAGAUAUAACCUAUAAAUCUUGUGCUGAGUAAUGGUUAAAUUCAAAUAUAAAUCAUUUGGGGUACCUGGGUGGUUCAGUUGGUUAAACAUGUGCCUUUGGCUCACAUCAUUCCAGGGUCCUGGGAUCGAGCCCCACAUCACGCUCUCUUCUUAGCUGGAAGCCUUUUUUCUCCCUCUCCCUCUGCCUCCCCCGCCCCCCUGCUUGUGUGCUCUAAUAAAAUUUCAAAAAACAACAAAUAUAAGUCAUUUGGAUUACAGUAUUUUGACUUAAAAGUUUUUAGAAUAUACUUCAUUAUCCAUUAAAAUGAGAGUAAACUGAAUUAAAUUCUAGAUAAUCCAGAAAUAGCCAUCUAAACACACUAAGACUUACCAUUUACCAAAUUAGUUAUUUUCAGUUAAUUACUUGUCAGAUGCAAUGGAACAUUCUCCAGAAAAGAUCACAUACUGGGUCACAAAUCAGGUCUUAAGCAGUACCAAAAGACUGGGUUCAUUCCCUGCAUAUUUUUGGACCACAAUACUCUGAACUGGAACUCAAUCACAAGAGAAAAUUUGGAAAGAAUUCAAAUACAUGGAGGCUAAAGAGCAUCCUACUAAAGAAUGAAUGGGUCAAGCAUGAAAUUAAAGAAUUUUACAAAUUCAUGGAAACAAAUGAAAAUGAAAACACAACUGUUCAAAACUUUGGGAUACAGCAAAAGCAAUCCUAAGGAGGGAUAGAGACCUAUCUAUAGGUCUCAAAUAUACAACUUAACCUUACACUUAAAGGAGUGGUACAAAGAACAGCAAGUAGAGCCUGAACCCAGCAGAAGAGAAAAGGGGCACCUGGGUGGCUCAGUGGUUGAGUGCCUGCCUUUGGCUCAGGUCUUGAUCCCAGCGUCCUGGGAUCAAAUCCUGAAUAGAGCUCACCGCAGGGAGCCUGCUUCUCCCUCUGCUUAUGUCUCUGCCUCUCUCAUGUAUAAAUAUUUCUUUUUAAAAGAAGAGAAAUAAUAAAGAUUAGACCAGAAAUCAAUGAAAUAGAAACCAAAAGGCUACAACAGAUCAACAAAACUAAGAGCUGAUUCUUUGAAAGAAUUAAGAUGGAUAAACCCUUGGCCAGACUUAUCAAAAAGAAAAAAAGAAAGGACCCAAAUAAAUAAAAUCAUGAAUGAAAAAGAUCACAAGAAACACUGAAAAAAUAUAAUUAUAUGAACAUAUUAUAAGCAACUAUAUGUCAACAAAUUAGGCAAUCUGGAAGAAAUGGAUGCAUUCCUAGAGACCUAUGAGCUACCAAAACUGAAACAAGAAGAAACAGAAAACCUGAACAGACCCAUAACCAGCAAGGAAAUUGAAGCAGUAAUCAAAAAUCUCCCAACAAGAGUCCAGAGCCAGGUGGCUUGCCAGGGGAAUUCAACCAAACAUUUAAAGAAUACCUAUUUGAUUGAAGCUGUUUCAAAAAAUAGAAAUGGAAGGAAAACGUCCAAACUUUCUAUGAGGCCAGCAUUACUUUGAAGUCAAAACCAGAGAAACACCCUACCAAAAAGGAGAAUUACAGAAUAGCCCCGAUGAAUAUGGAUGCAAAAAUUCUCACCAAUACUAGCCAAUAGGAUCCAACAGUAAAGGAUUAUUCACCAUGACCAAGUGGGACUUAUUCCUGGGCUGCAAGGGUGGUUCAACAUCAACAAAUCAAUGUGAUAUACAUUAAUAAAAAAAAGGACAGGGAUCCCUGGGUGGUGCAGUGGUUUAGUGCCUGCCUUUGGCCCAGGGCACGAUCCUGGAGACCCAGGAUCAAAUCCCAUGUCAGGCUCCCGGUACAUGGAGCCUGCUUCUCCCUCUGCCUGUGUCUCUGCCUCUCUCUCUCUCUCUCACUGUGUGCCUAUCAUAAAUAAGUAAAAUAAUUAAAAAAAAAAAAAAAAAAAA